UUGGGGAUCGGCUAACGGUAGGCCGCCUGCCUUUGAAGCAGGAGAUGAAGGUUCGAUUCCUUCUCCCCGAG
rnacentral:tRNA from 1 species